rnacentral:tRNA from 1 species
CGCCGCGAUACCGAGGCGACGUUGCGGUCUGGCGAGGUCGCCAGAAAGCGCGCGCGGAUUUCGGCGUCGUUCGGCGCGCUGCGCGGCAG